UGGGUUGUGCGUUCACGCGCCUUUACUUGUUUAUCAGCCUUGGUAAAUGCCCUGGCUGGUGUUCAAUUUGGUGUAGUGGGCGUGCUGCCUUUCAGCCGUGUCUGUGUAAACGGGUGCUGACUGGGUUGAUGAGCUUGUCUUGUUAACCUGUUGGCAUGCUUCUAGAUGCCCUUUACCGGGUGUCGGGAGCGGACGGCAUCUUUACUUUGAACAAAUUUGAGUGCUCAAAGCAGGCCUGUGGGCCUGAAAAUUCUUGCAUGGAAUAAUGGAAUAGGACUUCGGUUCUAUUUUGUUGGUUUUCGGAUCCGAAGUAAUGGUUAAGAGGGACAGACGGGGGCAUUUGUAUGGCGGUGUGAGAGGUGAAAUUCUGGGAUCGCCGCCAGACAAACUACAGCGAAAGCAUUUGCCAAGAAAUGUUUUCAUUGAUCAGGAGCGAAAGUCAGAGUUUCGAAGACGAUCAGAUACCGUCGUAGUUCUGACCAUAAACGAUGCCAACUGACGAUCCGCGGGCAGCACUUAUAUUGGCUCCGCGGGCAGUCCCCGGGAAACCUUUAAGUCUUUGGGCUCCGGGGGAAGUAUGGUUGCAAAGCUGAAACUUAAAGGAAUUGACGGAAGGGCACCACCAGGAGUGGAGCCUGCGGCCUAAUUCGACUCAACACGGGAAAACUCACCCGGCCCGGACACUGUGAGGAUUGACAGAUUGAGAGCUCUUUCUUGAUUCGGUGGUUGGUGGUGCAUGGCCGUUCUUAGUUGGUGGAGCGAUUUGUCUGGUUAAUUCCGAUAACGAACGAGACUUUGACCUACUAAAUAGUACGCUCGUCCUCUGUGCGCGUAUAGACUUGCGCUUGCAUGGCUUGUAAAUGAUGUGUCGUGGGUCAGCGAGUACGAUGCG
rnacentral:rRNA from 1 species